GACGGAGGAUGCAAGUGUUAUCCGGAAUCACUGGGCGUAAAGCGUCUGUAGGUGGUUUAGUAAGUCGAUUGUUAAAUCUUGAGGCUCAACUUCAAAACAGCAAUGGAAACUGCUAGACUUGAGUAUGGUAGAGGUAAGAGGAAUUUCCAGUGGAGCGGUGAAAUGCGUAGAUAUUGGAAAGAACACCGAUGGCGAAGGCAUUUUACUGGGCCAUAACUGACACUCAGAGACGAAGGCUAGAGUAGCAAAUGGGAUUAGAUACCCCAGUAGUUCUAGCUGUAAACGAUGGAUACUCGAUGUUGCACGUUCGUCGCAGUGUCCUAGCUAACGCGUUAAGUAUCCCGCCUGGGAAGUAUGCUCGCAAGAGUG
rnacentral:rRNA from 1 species